UUUAAUGGCUGCAGUAAUUAUAAUUAGUUUUUUAAUUAAAAGCUUGUAUGAAAGGUUGGACGAAAUAAAAACUGUCUUUAUUUAAUUUAUUUUAGAAUUUAAUUUUUAAGUUAAAAAGCUUAAAUAUAUAUAAAAGACGAGAAGACCCUAUAGAGUUUUAUAUUUUAUUGUCUAUAAUUAAUUUAGAUUUAUUAAUUUUAUAUAUAUUAAAAUAUUUUAUUGGGGUAAUAUAAAGAUUAAAAUAAUUCUUUAAUUUUUAAUUUAUUAAUUUAUAUUAUUUAUUGAUCCAAUAUUAUUGAUUAUAAGUUUAAAUUACCUUAGGGAUAACAGCGUAAUUUUUUUAGAGAGUUCAUAUUGAUAAAAAAGUUUGCGACCUCGAUGUUGGAUUAAAGAUUAAUUUAGGUGCAAAAGUUUAAAAAAUUUGGUCUGUUCGACCAUUGAAUCUUUACAUGAUCUGAGUUCAGACCGGUGUGAGCCAGGUCGGUUUCUAUCUUUAUUAAAUUAAUAUAUUUUAGUACGAAAGGACCAAUUAUUAAUUAUAAUAAUUAAUUUUUGAAUAUUAUUAAAUUAUUUUGGCAGAUUAGUGCAAUGAAUUUAGAAUUCAUUUAUGUAAUUAAAUUACAAGUAAUACUUGUUUUAUAUAGAUUUUAUUUUUUUAUUUAUUAUUAUAUUAUUAUUAAUUAUUUGUGUAUUAAUUGGAGUAGCUUUUUUAACUUUAUUGGAGCGUAA
rnacentral:rRNA from 1 species